rnacentral:rRNA from 1 species
GACGAACGCUGGCGGCGUGCUUAACACAUGCAAGUCGAGCGGAAAGGCCCUUCUUUUGUGGGGUGCUCGAGUGGCGAACGGGUGAGUAACACGUGAGUAACCUGCCCUUGACUUUGGGAUAACUUCAGGAAACUGGGGCUAAUACCGGAUAGGAGCUCCUGCUGCAUGGUGGGGGUUGGAAAGUUUCGGCGGUUGGGGAUGGACUCGCGUCUUAUCAGCUUGUUGGGGGGGUAGUGGCUUACCAAGGCUUUGACGGGUAGCCGGCCUGGGAGGGUGACCGGCCACAUUGGGACUGAGAUACGGCCCAGACUCCUACGGGAGGCAGCAGGGGGGAAUAUUGCACAAUGGGCGGAAGCCUGAUGCAGCAACGCCGCGUGCGGGAUGACGGCCUUCGGGUUGUAAACCGCUUUCGCCUGUGACGAAGCGUGAGUGACGGUAAUGGGUAAAGAAGCACCGGCUAAAUACGUG